UACAGAGGUCCCAAGCGUUGUUCGGAUUCACUGGGCGUAAAGGGUGCGUAGGCGGUCGGGUAAGUCUGAUGUGAAAUCUCACAGCUUAACUGUGAAACUGCAUUGGAUACUAUCCGGCUCGAGGAAUGGAGGGGAGACUGGAAUACUUGGUGUAGCAGUGAAAUGCGUAGAUAUCAAGUGGAACACCAGUGGCGAAGGCGGCGAUCUGGCCCAACAUUGACACUGAGACCCGAAAGCGUGGGGAUCAAACAGG
rnacentral:rRNA from 1 species